rnacentral:rRNA from 1 species
AGAGUUUGAUCAUGGCUCAGGACGAACGCUGGCGGCGUGCUUAAUACAUGCAAGUCGAGCGAGGUUACUGUUUCGGAUCCCUUCGGGGUGAAGAAGCUUUAACCUAGCGGCGGACGGGUGAGUAACGCGUGGGUAACCUACCCCAAAGUCCGGGAUAACAGCGGGAAACCGCUGCUAAUACCGGAUGCCUUUACCUUGGGGCAUCUUGAGGUAAAGAAAGGUAACGCUUUGGGAUGGGCCCGCGUCCCAUUAGCUAGUUGGUGAGGUAACGGCUCACCAAGGCGACGAUGGGUAGCCGGCCUGAGAGGGUGGACGGCCACACUGGGACUGAGACACGGCCCAGACUCCUACGGGAGGCAGCAGUAGGGAAUAUUGCGCAAUGGACGGAAGUCUGACGCAGCGACGCCGCGUGAGCGAUGAAGGUCUUCGGAUCGUAAAGCUCUGUCCUUGGGGAAGAAGGCGAAAGCUUGACGGUACCCAAGAAGAAAGCCCCGGCUAACUACGUGCCAGCAGCCGCGGUAAUACGUAGGGGGCGAGCGUUGUCCGGAAUUACUGGGCGUAAAGGGUGCGUAGGCGGCCCUUUAAGUCGGAUGUGAAAGCCCGCGGCUUAACCGCGGAAUGGCAUUCGAAACUGGAGGGCUUGAGUGUCGGAGAGGGUAGUGGAAUUCCCAGUGUAGCGGUGAAAUGCGUAGAUAUUGGGAGGAACACCAGUGGCGAAGGCGACUACCUGGACGAUAACUGACGCUGAGGCACGAAAGCUAGGGGAGCAAACAGGAUUAGAUACCCUGGUAGUCCUAGCCGUAAACGAUGGGUACUAGGUGUGGGUGGUUUCGAUACCAUCCGUGCCGUAGUUAACGCAUUAAGUACCCCGCCUGGGGAGUACGUGCGCAAGCAUGAAACUCAAGGAAUUGACGG